rnacentral:tRNA from 1 species
GAAUCCAUGGCUGAAUGGUGAAAGCGCCCACCAACCUAAAAAUGCAAAAUGGGUCAAAAAGUAGGUUCGAUUCCUGCCGGAUGCA